AGAGCGAACGCUGGCGGCAGGCCUAACACAUGCAAGUCGAGCGCCCGUAGCAAUACGGGAGCGGCAGACGGGAUAGUAACACGUGGGAACGCGCCCUUCGGUUCGGAAUAACUCAGGGAAACUUGAGCUAAUACCGGAUACGCCCUUACGGGGAAAGAUUUAUUGCCGAAGGAACGGCCCGCGUCCGAUUAGCUAGUUGGUGAGGUAAUGGCUCACCAAGGCGACGAUCGGUAGCUGGUCUGAGAGGAUGACCAGCAUCACUGGGACUGAGACACGGCCCAGACUCCUACGGGAGGCAGCAGUGGGGAACAUUGGACAAUGGGCGCAAGCCUGAUCCAGCCAUGCCGCGUGGAUGAUGAAGGCCUUAGGGUUGUAAAGUCCUUUUAACGGGGAAGAUAAUGACGGUACCCGUAGAAUAAGCCCCGGCUAACUUCGUGCCAGCAGCCGC
rnacentral:rRNA from 1 species